CGUAGGUGGCAAGCGUUGUCCGGAUUUAUUGGGUUUAAAGGGUGCGUAGGCGGUCUUUUAAGUCAGUGCUGAAAUACUCCAGCUUAACUGGAGGGGUGGCAUUGAUACUGGGAGACUUGAGUGUAGUCGAGGUAGGCGGAAUUGACGGUGUAGCGGUGAAAUGCUUAGAUAUCGUCAAGAACACCGAUAGUGAAGACAGCUUACUAGGCUACAACUGACGCUGAGGCACGAAAGUGUGGGGAUCAAACAGGAUUAGAUACCCUGGUAGUCCACACUGUAAACGUUGAUGACUCGCUGUGUGCGAUAUACAGUACGCGGCUAAGCGAAAGCGAUAAGUCAUCCACCUGGGGAGUACGCCGGCAACGGUG
rnacentral:rRNA from 1 species